rnacentral:rRNA from 1 species
UGCCCGCUGGCGGCAUUUCUAACACAUGCAAGUCGAGCGGAAACGAGUUAUCUGAACCUUCGGGGAACGAUAACGGCGUCGAGCGGCGGACGGGUGAGUAAUGCCUAGGAAAUUGCCUUGAUGUGGGGGAUAACCAUUGGAAACGAUGGCUAAUACCGCAUGAUGCCUACGGGCCAAAGAGGGGGACCUUCGGGCCUCUCGCGUCAAGAUAUGCCUAGGUGGGAUUAGCUAGUUGGUGAGGUAAUGGCUCACCAAGGCGACGAUCCCUAGCUGGUCUGAGAGGAUGAUCAGCCACACUGGAACUGAGACACGGUCCAGACUCCUACGGGAGGCAGCAGUGGGGAAUAUUGCACAAUGGGCGCAAGCCUGAUGCAGCCAUGCCGCGUGUAUGAAGAAGGCCUUCGGGUUGUAAAGUACUUUCAGCAGUGAGGAAGGGGGUGUCGUUAAUAGCGGCAUUUCUUGACGUUAGCUGCAGAAGAAGCACCGGCUAACUCCGUGCCAGCAGCCGCGGU